CACGAGCCUCGAUGAACAGUAGGUUACCUCUGCUCUAAAAGGAAAUGGUGAACGAAAGAAUGUGGACGCUGGUAGAAUUCUUCACAGGAGAAGAAAAUUGGUCUUCUUGCAUCAGUGGCUAAUUUGACCAAUCAGAAACAAGGUUUCUUAAGGUCCUGACAGAGCCCCUUGGUGUGUGUGCUGAGACGGUGCCAGCCACAGCAGACCCUCAACCCUACACCUUGCUCUCCUCGCCGGCUUUUCUGGGCUACAGGCAAGCGAUGAAACUGAAAGCCAGCACACAAUGCUACAGUGAUCUCAAACAGCUUAAAUAGAAGGCCCUGGAAAAAUGAAUCACACAAAUUGCUUCCUUCACAGAAGCCAAAUUAGACAUCACUGGUGUUCUGCAACAAGAGGCAUUUUCUUAUAAAGGUGCUUUGGCACCUUUAUUUCCCGUGUAACGAUUUUGUUUAUUCAUCUGUGUUUUAUUUUUGCCAUUUGUUAAAAAG